UACGGAGGGUGCAAGCGUUAUCCGGAUUCACUGGGUUUAAAGGGUGCGUAGGUGGGCAGGUAAGUCAGCGGUGAAAUCUCCGGGCUUAACCCGGAAACUGCCGUUGAUACUAUCUGUCUUGAAUGUAGUGGAGGUGAGCGGAAUAUGUCAUGUAGCGGUGAAAUGCUUAGAUAUGACAUAGAACAUCGAUUGCGAAGGCAGCUCGCUACACUAUGAUUGACACUGAGGCACGAAAGCGUGGGGAUCAAACAGG
rnacentral:rRNA from 1 species